AGUUCGGAUUGUAGUCUGCAACCCGACUACAUGAAGCCGGAAUCGCUAGUAAUCGCGGAUCAGAAUGCCGCGGUGAAUACGUUCCCGGGUCUUGUACACACCGCCCGUCACACCAUGGGAGUCGGAAAUGCCCGAAGUCAGUGACCCAACCGAAAGGAGGGAGCUGCCGAAGGCAGGUCCGGUAACUGGGGUGAAGUCGUAACAAGGUACC
rnacentral:rRNA from 1 species